UACACGAAGAGUUUGAUCCUGGCUCAGGACGAACGCUGGCGGCGUGCUUAACACAUGCAAGUCGAACGCGAAAGGGGGCUUGCCCCCGAGUAAAGUGGCGCACGGGUGAGUAUCACGUGGGUAACCAACCCCUAGGUGGGGGAUAACGGCCCGAAAGGGACGCUAAUCCCGCAUAAGACCACGAUAGCACAGGCUAUUGGGGCCAAAGGAGAAAUUCGCCUAGGGACGGGCCCGCGUCCCAUCAGCUAGUUGGUAGGGUAACGGCCUACCAAGGCAGUGACGGGUAGCUGGUCUGAGAGGAUGAUCAGCCACACUGGGACUGGAACACGGCCCAGACUCCUACGGGAGGCAGCAGUGAGGAAUUUUGGACAAUGGGCGAAAGCCUGAUCCAGCAACGCCGCGUGAGUGAUGAAGGCCCUCGGGUUGUAAAGCUCUUUCAGGGGGAACGAGGAAGGACGGUACCCCCACAAGAAGCACCGGCUAACUCCGUGCCAGCAGCCGCGGUAAUACGGAGGGUGCGAGCGUUGUCCGGAAUCACUGGGCGUAAAGCAGGUGCAGGCGGCCUGUUGUGUCGGGUGUGAAAUCCCGUGGCUCAACCACGGAACUGCGCCCGAAACUGAUGGGCUUGAGUGCGAGAGGGGAUGGUGGAAUUCUCGGUGUAGAGGUGAAAUUCGUAGAUAUCGAGAGGAAUACCGGUGGCGAAGGCGACCAUCUGGCUCGUUUCUGACGCUCAGACCUGAAAGCGUGGGUAGCAAACAGAAUUAGAUACUCUGGUAGUCCACGCAGUAAACGAUGGAUACUAGGUGUUGGGGGUGUCGAUUCCCUCAGUGCCGAAGUUAACGCAUUAAGUAUCCCGCCUGGGAAGUACGGCCGCAAGGCUAAAACUCAAAGGAAUUGACGGGGGCCCGCACAAGCGGUGGAGUAUGUGGUUUAAUUCGACGCAACGCGAAGAACCUUACCCAGACUUGACAUGUAGAGAACCUGGUGGAAACACUGGGGUGCCUAGUUUACUAGGAGCUCUAACACAGGUGCUGCAUGGCUGUCGUCAGCUCGUGUCGUGAGAUGUUGGGUUAAGUCCCGCAACGAGCGCAACCCUUGCCGAUAGUUGCCAUCAUUAAGUUGGGCACUCUAUAGGGACUGCCGGUGUUAAACCGGAGGAAGGUGGGGAUGACGUCAAGUCCUCAUGGCCCUUAUGUCUGGGGCUACACACGUACUACAAUGGCUGGUACAAAGGGCUGCAAGCCGGCGACGGUUAGCCAAUCCCAAAAAGCCAGCCCCAGUUCAGAUUGGAGUCUGCAACUCGACUCCAUGAAGGCGGAAUCGCUAGUAAUCGCUAAUCAGCAGGUAGCGGUGAAUACGUUCCCGGGCCUUGUACACACCGCCCGUCAAACCAUGGGAGUUGCUUGCUCCUGAAGUCACUGGGCUAACCCGCAAGGGAGGCAGGUGCCUACGGAGUGGGUAGCGACUGGGGUUAAGUCGUAACAAGGUAGCCGUAGGGGAACCUGCGGCUGGAUCACCUCCUUU
rnacentral:rRNA from 1 species